GUUGAACGCUGGCGGCAUGCCUUAUACAUGCAAGUCGAGCGGACAGAGGACGAGCGGUCUUGUCGAAUGUUGACGGCGGGCGUAUUAGUAACAAAUGUGUAACCUAGUGGGGGGAAUGUGAUAACUUCGGUAGACCGUAGCUAAUACCGGCUAUGAUUUAGAACCGGAUGGUUCAAGAGUGAAAGCCGUUCGUGCUGUCACUGAUAGAUGAAUCCGCGUCGCAGUAGAUAGUUGGUAAGGUAACGGCUUACCAAGGCAACGAUGCAUAGCCGACCUGAGAGGGCGACCGGCCACACUGGAACUGAGACACGGCCCAGACUCCUACGGGAGGCAGCAGUAGGGAAUUUUGGACAAUGGGCGAAAGCCUGAUCCAGCAAUGCCGCGUGAAUGAAGAAGGCCUUCGGAUUGUAAACUUCUGUUAUACGGAAAGAAACGACGUUUAUUAAAACCCGCAGCUAAUGACGGUACCUAAAGAGAAAGCACCGGCUAACUACGUG
rnacentral:rRNA from 1 species